GACGAACGCUGGCGGCGUGCUUAACACAUGCAAGUCGAACGGAAAGGCCCUGCUUUUGUGGGGUGCUCGAGUGGCGAACGGGUGAGUAACACGUGAGUAACCUGCCCUUGACUUUGGGAUAACUUCAGGAAACUGGGGCUAAUACCGGAUAGGAGCUCCUGCUGCAUGGUGGGGGUUGGAAAGUUUCGGCGGUUGGGGAUGGACUCGCGGCUUAUCAGCUUGUUGGUGGGGUAGUGGAUUACCAAGGCUUUGACGGGUAGCCGGCCUGAGAGGGUGACCGGCCUCCUUGGGCCUGCGGUACGGCCCAGACUCCUACGGGAGGCAGCGGUGGGGAGUCUUGCACAAUGGGCCGGAGUCUGAUGCAGCGGCGCCGCGUUCGUGAUGACGGCCUUUUGGUUGUGAACCGCUUUCGCCUGAGACGAAGCGUUAGUGACGGUAAUGAGUAAAGAAGCACCGGCUAACUACGUG
rnacentral:rRNA from 1 species